AGGGUUUGAUUCUGGCUCAGGACGAACGCUGGCGGCGUGCCUAAUACAUGCAAGUGGGACGCAAGGAAACACACUGUGCUUGCACACCGUGUUUUCUUGAGUCGCGAACGGGUGAGUAACGCGUAGGUAACCUGCCUAUUAGCGGGGGAUAACUAUUGGAAACGAUAGCUAAUACCGCAUAAUAUUAAUUAUUGCAUGAUAAUUGAUUGAAAGAUGCAAGCGCAUCACUAGUAGAUGGACCUGCGUUGUAUUAGCUAGUUGGUAAGGUAAGAGCUUACCAAGGCGACGAUACAUAGCCGACCUGAGAGGGUGAUCGGCCACACUGGGACUGAGACACGGCCCAG
rnacentral:rRNA from 1 species